UAACCGUUCGACGUUCAUUUAUUCACGUCGGGUGCUAUAGCUCUGUGAAGGAAUCAGCUGCGGCUUCUACAUUACGUAGCCGCGAAAUUGUCAUAGAAAAUUAUUUCCCAACACCAAUAGUCCACCGUCGUACAUUUGACGUCGCGUGAAAGCUGAAUCACUAGCUUCCUUCCAAUGUCACACUGCAUAUAAUCUUGUUUUUAAACAUUAGUUUCACAGAACGAUCGAGCAUACUGCUUCUAUUUCAAUUUGUGUUCUUUUGUUUUAUUUUUUAUUCAUAGCUGUUUGUAUUUUUGUAACAGAAGAAAAGUCAGUGAGCAGAAAUUGUCACAGACACAUUUACUGCACUAACUAAGGAACAGGUCUAUGCUUAAUCAUUUUUGUCGGAGACAAACCGUUCAGGAACCGGUAGCUUGAAUGUUCAGGAAUAUUAAUAGCCAGCGGCGAGGGUGGAACUCGAUGGAAGAAAAGUUUAAUCGAAUUUUAAAGUGGAGGAGGAAUUCAGAAGUUGCUGGGAAUCUUAAGCAGUCGGGCAACUUCCAGCGGUCCUUUGUCACCAGAAUGGUCGCAGGAUUACACUCGUGGAAACAUUAGAGGUUCUCCCGCGCUGCGCGACGGCCAGUAACUCGACCCGAAUUGAAGAACUCCGCUGCGUCUGGAAGUUAGUGAAACUCGAGUGGAAAAGUUUGCCCCGGUAAACGAGAGGGUGAGAACACAUCGCGACCCCGUCACAGUUUCUGCUAUUAUUAUGGAGAAUCACACAGCGGCUGGACCCCGGGGUCAACUCUCCGAAAGGAAACGGAAGGCUUUCCAAGGCCUGAUAAAAGCGACCCUCGUCAAUUUCUGCCAUCCGUCAUAAAAAAAUGUUCUAACAUACUUAUCCCCCUAUUAUACUGUGUAACUUCGAAGUUGUACAACAAUGUAAGAAUUCUUCCAGUCACGUUUUACUCUUCUUGUCAUUUGAAUACUAAAUCAUUAAUCAUAGAUAAAUUUACCUUUGACCUAUC